AGCUCAGUGGUAGAGCACAUGCCUAGCAUGCACGAGGUCCUGGGUUCGAUCCCAG
rnacentral:tRNA from 1 species